UACGUAGGGUGCGAGCGUUAAUCGGAAUUACUGGGCGUAAAGUGUGCGCAGGCGGCGCCGCAAGUCGAGUGUGAAAGCCCCGAGCCUUAACUUGGGAAUUGCGCUCGAAACUAUGGUGCUGGAGUGUGGCAGAGGAAGGUGGAAUUCCACGUGUAGCGGUGAAAUGCGUAGAGAUCGUGAGGAAGACCCGUGGCGAAGGCGGAUCUCUGGACGGCUAACUGGACGCUGAGGCGACGGAAGGCCAGGGGAGCGCAAACGGG
rnacentral:rRNA from 1 species